GAUUGGUUGUGUUUGGAAAAGGAAAGCAAGUAAAUUCCUGUUAGACUUUUGUGUCUUAGGUCAAGAAUUGUGGGUAAUGUUUUGAAAAAAGUGUUUUAUGCCGUUGAAAACUGAGUGAAAGGCUGAGAAAUGGCUAAUAGGUUUGGAGAUUUGGUGUGUAGUUUGGCACUUUGAGUGAGAGGUUUCAAAAACUGUGUGACACAAAAAGAUUUUGUGUGUAAGCAGUUG